CCUACGGGAGGCAGCAGUGGGGAAUUUUGGACAAUGGGCGCAAGCCUGAUCCAGCCAUGCCGCGUGCGGGAAGAAGGCCUUCGGGUUGUAAACCGCUUUUGUCAGGGAAGAAAUCCUUUGAGAUAAUACCUCGGAGGGAUGACGGUACCUGAAGAAUAAGCACCGGCUAACUACGUGCCAGCAGCCGCGGUAAUACGUAGGGUGCGAGCGUUAAUCGGAAUUACUGGGCGUAAAGCGUGCGCAGGCGGUCUUGCAAGACAGAUGUGAAAUCCCCGGGCUCAACCUGGGAACUGCAUUUGUGACUGCAAGGCUAGAGUACGGUAGAGGGGGAUGGAAUUCCGCGUGUAGCAGUGAAAUGCGUAGAUAUGCGGAGGAACACCGAUGGCGAAGGCAAUCCCCUGGACCUGUACUGACGCUCAUGCACGAAAGCGUGGGGAGCAAACAGGAUUAGAUACCCUGGUAGUCCACGCCCUAAACGAUGUCAACUGGUUGUUGGACGGCUUGCUGUUCAGUAACGAAGCUAACGCGUGAAGUUGACCGCCUGGGGAGUACGGCCGCAAGGUUGAAACUUAAAGGAAUUGACGG
rnacentral:rRNA from 1 species